AACGCACGAGACCUGCGGACCUGCGGAGGGAUCAUUACAGAGUUGCAAAACUCCCUAAACCAUUGUGAACGUUACCUAAACCGUUGCUUCGGCGGGCGGCGCGCCCUCGCGCGCGCCCCUGGGCCCCACCGCGGGCGCCCGCCGGAGGUCACCAAACUCUUGAUAUUAAUUGGCCUCUCUGAGUCUUCUGUACUGAAUAAGUCAAAACUUUCAACAAUGGAUCUCUAGAUCGGAAGAGCA
rnacentral:misc_RNA from 1 species